rnacentral:rRNA from 1 species
GAUGAACGCUGGCGGCGUGCCUAAUACAUGCAAGUCGAGCGAACGGACGAGAAGCUUGCUUCUCUGAUGUUAGCGGCGGACGGGUGAGUAACACGUGGAUAACCUACCUAUAAGACUGGGAUAACUUCGGGAAACCGGAGCUAAUACCGGAUAAUAUUUUGAACCGCAUGGUUCAACAGUGAAAGACGGUCUUGCUGUCACUUAUGGAUGGAUCCGCGCUGCAUUAGCUAGUUGGUAAGGUAACGGCUUUCCAAGGCAACGAUGCAUAGCCGACCUGAGAGGGUGAUCGGCCACACUGGAACUGAGACACGGUCCAGACUCCUACGGGAGGCAGCAGUAGGGAAUCGUCCGCAAUGGGCGAAAGCCUGACGGAGCAACGCCGCGUGAGUGAUGAAGGUCUUCGGAUCGUAAAACUCUGUUAUUAGGGAAGAACAUAUGUGUAAGUAACUGUGCACAUCUUGACGGUACCUAAUCAGAAAGCCACGGCUAACUACGUG